GACGAACGCUGGCGGCGUGCUUAACACAUGCAAGUCGAACGGAAAGGCCCUGCUUUUGUGGGGUGCUCGAGUGGCGAACGGGUGAGUAACACAUGAGUAACCUGCCCUUGACUUUGGGAUAACUUCAGGAAACUGGGGCUAAUACCGGAUAGGAGCUCCUGCUGCAUGGUGGGGGUUGGAAAGUUUCGGCGGUUGGGGAUGGACUCGCGGCUUAUCAGCUUGUUGGUGGGGUAGUGGCUUACCAAGGCUUUGACGGGUAGCCGGCCUGAGAGGGUGACCGGCCACAUUGGGACUGAGAUACGGCCCAGACUCCUACGGGAGGCAGCAGUGGGGAAUAUUGCACGAUGGGCGGAAGCCUGAUGCAGCAACGCCGCGUGCGGGAUGACGGCCUUCGGGUUGUAAACCGCUUUCGCCUGCGACGAAGCGUGAGUGACGGUAAUGGGUAAAGAAGCACCGGCUAACUACGUG
rnacentral:rRNA from 1 species